CGCUCUAGCUCUCCAAAAAAGAAAGAAGAGCGCUCAUGUCCGUGUGCCACCUCCUUGCAGCACCGCUCCUCUCUCCUCCUGUCUCUCUGUGUCUCUCUCUGGUAGCGGCGGCUCCGUUACUGCCUGAUGACACCGGACCGAUACCACAGAUAUGAAGCACCCCACAGAUAAGACCCAGAUAAGACACAUAUUGUGAUUGGAAAAAAAAAAGACUAAAUAAUCUGGGCCUUUAAGUUAGAUCAUUGUUGCCUUGUUUGAAAGUAUUAAUGCUGGACCGUUGAGCUUCUAGCUGGGAUGCACAUUAAACACCAGGAUCCAAGAGCCAGUUAACCAUUUAUGCAGAGAGGUUAAUGGGUGCAGGUUGAAGGAUGGAUAAGGGAUGAUGAAGAUAUGGAUGUUGAUGAUGAUUUUUCUGCACAAUAAACAAAUUAAAUCAA